UAUGAACUCUACAAACAGACUUCCCACCUUCUUGACUUUUAUGUUCCAUUCAAUUUAAUUACGAUGUUGAUGGAAAAAUGGGAGAGGUAGAGAAAAGUCUUUGGAUGAAAGUGGAAGCUGUACUGUAUCAAUCAACUUCUUUACUGGCGGUGCCAACUGAAUCAAAUUAUAUUGAGAGUUGAAGCGUCUGAUUUUUUCUCUUUAUCUAAUACAUCAUUCUUCAAUUUUUUUCUCUUUUGUUUAGUCUUGGUCUUUCUUUCUGAUGGAUUCUUCCACUGUUGCAACAGAAUCACCGACUUUCAAAUGGACUUAUGAUGUGUUUUUGAGUUUCAGAGGAGAGGAUACUCGCACCAAUUUCACCAGUCAUCUUGAUAUGGCCUUGCGUCAAAAGGGUGUCAAUGUCUUCAUAAACGACAAGCUCGAAAGGGGUGAGCAAAUUUCUGAAUCCCUUUUCAAAUCUAUACAGGAAGCUUCCAUUUCUAUUGUUAUAUUCUCUCAAAAUUAUGCAUCUUCUUCCUGGUGUCUGGAUGAGUUGGUGAACAUAAUUGAGUGUAAGAAAUCCAAGGGCCAGAAUGUUUUCCCAGUUUUCUAUAAGGUGGAUCCGUCCGAUAUACGAAAACAAACUGGUAGCUUCGGAGAAGCACUGGCCAAACAUCAGCCUAAGUUCCAAACAAAGACCCAAAUUUGGAGGGAAGCUUUAACUACUGCUGCUAACUUGUCUGGUUGGAAUCUAGGAACUAGGAAGGAGGCUGAUCUUAUUGGAGAUCUUGUUAAAAAAGUGUUGUCUGUAUUAAACCGCACUUGCACGCCCUUAUAUGUAGCUAAGUAUCCGGUUGGAAUUGAUUCUAAACUAGAAUAUAUGAAGCUUCGUUCACAUAGUCUUUUUGAGAAGAGCAACAAAUUCCAUUAUCGAAAACAACAUGAGUAUGAGUCUGAUACUGGUGUUUACAUGGUGGGCUUAUAUGGCAUUGGAGGCAUUGGUAAGACAACUUUGGCUAAAGCUUUAUACAACAAAAUUGCUAGCCAAUUUGAAGGUUGCUGCUUUCUAUCAAAUGUUAGAGAAGCUUCAAAGCAAUUCAAUGGCCUUGCUCAACUACAGGAAACCCUACUCUAUGAGAUCCUAACGGUUGAUUUGAAGGUUGUCAACCUUGAUAGAGGAAUUAACAUCAUAAGGAAUAGAUUGUGUUUGAAGAAAGUCCUUAUAGUUCUUGAUGAUGUAGAUAAGCUUGAGCAGUUAGAAGCAUUGGUUGGCGGGCGUGAUUGGUUUGGCCAAGGCAGUAGAAUCAUUGUGACGACAAGGAACAAACAUUUACUUUCUAGCCAUGGCUUUGAUGAAAUGAAAAAUAUUCUAGGAUUGGAUGAAGACAAAGCUAUUGAGCUUUUUAGUUGGCAUGCUUUCAAGAAAAAUCAUCCAUCAAGUAAUUAUUUAGACCUUUCAAAACGUGCUACAAGUUAUUGUAAAGGCCAUCCUUUGGCUCUCGUUGUUUUGGGUUCUUUCCUCUGUACCAGAGAUCAAGUAGAAUGGUGUAGUAUAUUAGAUGAAUUUGAAAACUCUUUGAACAAAGAUAUCAAAGAUAUUCUUCAAUUAAGUUUUGAUGGUCUGGAAGACAAAGUAAAGGAUAUCUUUCUUGAUAUUUCUUGUUUACUUGUGGGAGAGAAAGGUAAGUACGUUAAGGAUAUGUUGAGUGCAUGUCAUGUAAAUCUAGAUUUUGGAAUUAUAGUACUCACGGAUCUUUCAUUUAUUACGAUUGAAAAUGGCAUAAUGCAAAUGCAUGAUUUAAUAAAACAGAUGGGUCAUAAAAUAGUUUGUGGUGAAUCUCUUGAGCUUGGAAAGAGGAGUAGGUUGUGGUUGGUACAGGAUGUUUGGGAGGUGCUUGUUAAUAAUUAAGGAACAGACGCAGUUAAAGGCAUAAAGUUGGACUUUCCUAAUUCCACGAGGCUGGAUGUGGAUCCACAAGCUUUUAGAAAAAUGAAAAAUUUGAGAUUGCUUAUUGUUCAAAAUGCAAGAUUUUCUACAAAGAUUGAGUACCUACCUGAUAGCUUAAAGUGGAUUAAGUGGCAUGGAUUUCGUCAACCAACUUUUCCUUCGUUCUUCACUAUGAAAAAUCUUGUUGGACUAGAUUUGCAACAUAGCUUCAUCAAAACAUUUGGGAAAAGACUUGAGGAUUGUGAAAGGUUGAAGCUUGUUGAUCUUAGCUACUCUACUUUCUUAGAGAAAAUUCCUAAUUUCUCUGCAGCAUCAAACCUUGAAGAGUUGUAUCUCUCCAAUUGCACAAAUUUAGGAAUGAUAGAUAAGUCUGUUUUCUCUCUCGAUAAGCUUACUGUCCUAAACCUUGAUGGUUGUUCUAACCUUAAAAAGCUUCCAAGAGGCUACUUCAUGUUAAGUUCUCUUAAAAAAUUGAAUCUCUCUUACUGCAAAAAACUUGAGAAAAUUCCAGACUUAUCUUCAGCAUCAAACCUUACGAGCUUGCAUAUCUAUGAAUGCACAAAUUUAAGAGUAAUUCAUGAAUCUGUUGGAUCUUUGGAUAAGCUUGAAGGUUUGUACCUUAAACAAUGCACUAACCUGGUAAAGCUUCCAAGCUAUCUCAGCUUAAAGUCUCUUCUAUGUUUAUCACUUUCUGGGUGUUGUAAGCUUGAAAGCUUCCCAACAAUUGCUGAAAACAUGAAAUCUUUAAGGACCUUGAAUUUGGAUUUUACUGCCAUAAAGGAGUUACCUUCAUCAAUUAGAUAUCUCACUAAGCUUUGGACAUUAAAACUUAAUGGUUGCACAAACCUCAUCUCCCUUCCCAAUACAAUUUAUUUGUUAAGGAGUCUUAAGAAUCUUCUUCUUAGUGGCUGUUCUAUAUUUGGAAUGUUUCCCGAUAAAUGGAACCCAACCAUCCAACCAGUAUGCUCUCCUUCAAAAAUGAUGGAAACUGCUUUGUGGAGCUUAAAAGUUCCCCAUUUCCUAGUACCAAAUGAAAGUUUUUCCCAUAUCACUUUGUUGGAUCUUCAGUCUUGCAACAUAUCAAAUGCAAAUUUUUUGGAUAUUUUAUGUGACGUUGCUCCUUUCUUAUCUGAUCUACGCUUGUCCGAAAACAAAUUCUCUAGUUUACCCUCAUGUCUCCACAAGUUCAUGUCGUUGUGGAAUCUUGAAUUAAGGAAUUGUAAGUUUCUUCAAGAAAUUCCAAGCCUUCCUGAGAGUAUACAAAAAAUGGAUGCCUGUGGUUGUGAAUCGUUGGCUCGAAUUCCAGAUAACAUUGUGGAUAUAAUAUCAAAAAAACAGGACCUCACAAUGGGUGAGAUUUCAAGAGAGUUUUUAUUAACGGGGAUUGAGAUUCCAGAAUGGUUCAGCUAUAAGACUACAUCCAAUUUGGUGAGUGCUAGCUUUCGUCACUAUCCAGACAUGGAAAGAACUUUGGCUGCCUGUGUUAGUUUCAAAGUAAAUGGAAAUUCAUCUGAAAGAGGUGCCCGGAUUUCAUGCAAUAUAUUCGUCUGCAAUAGACUCUAUUUUUCAUUGUCAAGACCAUUUCUUCCCUCAAAAUCAGAAUAUAUGUGGUUAGUAACAACUUCUCUAGCGUUGGGUUCCAUGGAGGUGAAUGACUGGAAUAAAGUUUUGGUCUGGUUUGAGGUUCAUGAAGCACAUAGUGAGGUUAAUGCAACUAUAACAAGGUAUGGUGUCCAUGUCACUGAAGAGCUCCAUGCGAUACAAACGGAUGUCAAGUGGCCGAUGGUAAAUUAUGCUGAUUUUUAUCAACUGGAGAAAUUGCAAAGUCUGGAUAUUGAGGAACUUCUUCUCAAACGCUUUUUUGAAGAAAUGUCGUGCUGGUCCAAUUCCCAAGCAAUGUUAUAUGCGGCAAAUUAUGAUCCAGAAGCAAUAAUCGAUUCGAAUAUACAACCUAUGAUAUUUCCAUUGCACGUAACAUAUAAUGGUGAGACAUUUAUAUGUGGAAUGGAAGGCAUGGGAGACACUACACUCGCCAACUCUUUAUGCAAUAAAUUUAAUUGGCCAAAUGACAACGUUCGGGCAAGAGAAGCUUUAGAUAAUUCUACAAGCUUUUUGCAUUUUCGAGGAGGAAAGUUUAAUGGAGGUUCCUGGUCAUCGUCCCACCACCGUAAGCGUGGAGAUGGUGAAAGAGGAACCAAUAUCACAACCCGCACAAUAUCCUCCAAACGCUAUUUGAUACUCUUUCAUAAAGCGGGGAGCUAUGAUGAUUUAUUUAACUUUGCUGGUAGCCACCGUUUGAUUGCAGGUUCUCGCAGUUAUGACAGUCUUAACGGAAGAGGUGAUGUUCGGCUUCUGAUUGAAAGGGUUGAUACAUCCUUGCUCUGAAGCUCACUUUUUAGUAAAAAUUUACAUUUAAACACCCUUUUAAUCUUUUUUUGGAGCUUGUAUAUAUUAAUUUAAACUUUAUGAUAAUUAAUAUCAAUUUAAACACUCAAUUAAAUAUAGUGUGAAACUUAUUAGUAAAAUUCUAAAUUGCUAUUAAGUGAAUCGAUUCAAACUCUU